GCCAUGGCCAAACUACAAGUUGCGAAAGCUCCCCCAUCUGGCGGGGCUCAAGGCCACAACAAGAGGACUCACUCACUACAGGAACGUGGCGUGGGACGGGCCUGCAUUUAUCUAAUAGAUCAAGUUUGGUUUCUGCUGAAAGUACAUUUCUCAUCAGUGCUAGCCGUUUGUGUGCUGUUGUUUUUGCGUCGGCAUGGCGGUGGUCAUCCGUUUACAGGGCCUUAGAAUCACAGCAGGUUCUGAGGACAUUCGCAAUUUCUUCACUGGCCUAAAAAUCCCUGAUGGUGGGGUGCAUAUUAUUGGUGGGGAGAAUGAAGAGGCUUUCAUCAUCUUUGCUUCUGAUGAAGAUGCAAGAAGAGCCAUGAUACGUUCAGGAGGCUGUAUCAAGGGGUCCCCUGUUAACUUGCUGCUGAGCAGUAAAUCGGAAAUGCAGAGCCUUCUGGAAGAAAGUACAAAAAACGCAGAGCUGGAUCAGAAGAGACCACUGAAGGAAGAUUCAAGACGACUCCAUGGUGAUGUUCCAGUGGGACCUAGAAGAACUAACCACCCAGAUGCAGGCAGGAGUUCGGGUGGCAGGGCAGGUCAUUCUCUGACCAGGUACCGGAGGACUGCAUCUCCCUCCAAUGAUGACUUGUACGUGUUUCUGAAGGGAAUGCCCUUCUCGGUGACUGAAUCUGAUGUGAGACAGUUUUUUGAUGGUUUGCUGGUUGAUGGCAUAAUCUUAAUGAAAAAUGGGCGUGGUCAAAAUAAUGGGCUAGGGCUUGUUAAAUUUGCAACAAGACAGGAUGCAAGAGAUGGCAUAAAGAGAGAUAGGGGAUACAUUGGUUCACGGUUUGUGGAAGUGUAUUUGGCAACUGAACAACAAUGGCAUGAGCUUGGUGGUGUUGGAGGUUACAACAAUAAUGGCAAGUUUGAAAAAGGAAAGUCACCACAGGAACUUGCAAGGCAUCCACGUCGCCUGAGAUCACGAUCCCCUUUAGCCAUCCUGCCCAACUCUGCUUGCACUGAAGAGUUUUGUGUUUUGCUGGAAAAUCUGUCUUAUUCAACUGUUAAAAGAAACAUUAAAGAACUUUUCCACCAUGCAAGGCUUCAGGAUGACCAGAUACUGUACCUGCUAGACAGAGGGGGUAGGAGAACAAGAUCAGCAUUUGUGCUCUUUAAAAGCCUAAGCAACUACUGUGCUGCCUUGACUCGCCACAAAGAAGAAUUCCUCAACAGGAAUGUGUAUAUAUCUCCUAUAUCAAGAGAGAAGAUGCUCUCCAUUCUGGAGUCAUGUAACCCCAAGGAUGGACCUUGUGAGGCGACGGAAAGAUUUAAAGGAAGCCCUCCAAGUCGGCAAGGAGAUCCAUACAACUCUGAGAAAGUGUGUCUCUAUGUUCAGAAUAUGCCCUUUGAUGUGCGAAAAGUCGAGAUCAUGGACUUCUUCUUCGGGUUGAAUAUAACUGAGGAUAGUGUUCUCUUGCUUCGUGACCACAAAGGAGCGGGUAUUGGAGAGGCUUUGGUUGUCUUUCAGUUUGAAGGAGAGGCUAUGAAUGCUCAAUCUCUAAAUGGGCAGCGGUUUCUUGGGUCACAAGUGGUGUUGAAAUGCAUUGCACGGUCUGAGAUGCGGGAGUUCGGUGUGGGGCCCCCAAUGCUUGAAGAGCCAAUGGCAUGUGAAGAAAGGCAUUCUGCACGGAGCAGCAGCGAGGGACCCUAUCCUGGUGACAUGGACUACCCAAACAUGAGGGAACCAUCCCAUGCUGAUAUGCCGAUGGCUAAUCUCCAGGUUCAAAUCCAUGGCGGCAGCAGUAGGGAUUCUCUUGUGCAUUAUCCUCAAGGGGGAGGAAAUGGAUCAUCGCACACAGACAUGGCUCCCCCUGCACAGAAUUUCGAUGGUCCCACUUGCCUAAAGCUUGUCAACUUGCCGUCUCAAAUCAAGAUGGAUGAGGUCUAUGACUUUUGCUAUGGAUAUCGUGUCAUCCCUGGAUCUGUCUCACUGCAGUACAAUAAAAAUGGCAUGCCAAAAGGCUCUGCAACAGUAGUGUUUGAAUCUCGCCAGGAAGCAUUAACGGCAGUUCGAGAACUCAGUGGAAGACCAAUUGGUAAUCGAAAAAUACAGCUUGUUUUUGUGUGAACAUGGGGUGUGGUUUGGGGUUAUGGUAUUUAAAACAAAUGGCAUAUAAUCUUUAAUUAUGUUUUCUUUUUUAUUAAGCCAUUGUUUGUCAAAUUGAUUCUUUAUUUUGAGAUGAUCUUUAACCUUAAGUCAAUGUAUCGUCACUUUAUUUUAUUUUGAAUACAAAUGUUACUCAUAAUUGCUUCACUUAAUUGAACGUUUCACGUGAGCAUUAUUUUGUUUGACAUCUGUUGUGAAAAGAUCUGACACAUACAUUUGGAAAGGGAAUGAAUUUUUUUUAACUAUUUUAGGAGGAAAACCUUAAUGCAAGAUUUACAUCUCAACAUUGACAAUGUAAACAAUUAAACUGUGGUCUUUGCAGACAGGCCAAAUAAUUGAAUUGGUUUGUUACUUAUCAUUGUGUGUAUGCACAUUUUUGCAUAAGAAGUUGUUUAAGGUUUACUUUUCAUUUCCAGUCAUGACUUGAUGCCCCACAAGGCAAAGGCAAAGAAGUAAAGUAUUUUCAAAAAAGGAAAUGUUUUUUUAAUUGUAAGCAAGGUGAGACUUUUAAAAUGUUACCGUCGUUUAUUUCAUAGAAAUUAAACACAGCUAAUACUGUUAUUUAGCUACUACAGAAUCAAAUUGAAGCCCGUCAUUCAAAAAGGAGCACAGGACAAGAAUGGGAGCUGAUCGUUCAUAGGCCCGCCUCUUAUUAAUUGUAUUAUGAAGGGUUCACAGCAUAACUAACCCAGGAACAUUUAUUCAGUUACUACGGUUAGAUUUGUUUUAUUAGUUGACAAUGUUUGAAUUAAGCCAACACCACCCAUGUAUUCAGUUUAAUCGAUGUAGUGUUAUUGGUUUCAUGAUGCAUUGCAUUUCAGGUUUCCAUUUUACCAUGUUAAUACAAAUGUAUUAAUUGACCUGCAUCCAACAAUUUAACAUGGAAAAAAUGCAACAAGACCUUUAUUUAUUGGUCAAUUGUUUUUCUUUAUAGUAAACUUAAUGUGACAAGUGCUCGGGUUUUAAUAAGAUUGCACUAUGGAGAAGGAUCCCGUUAAUGCUGCAGGAAAAGUUAAAUAUAUAAGUAAUUAUUCCGUUUAUAGUUUUUGUUUAAACCAUGCAGGAUGUUCAGAAUAAGGUGGAUGUAAUAAUGUGGGCUCUAAAAGCUGUAAACAUCGACAAAGUCAGUCAACCGGCUGAUUGGUAGGCCUCCGUGGAGGGAUAUCAGACAGAUCCUACUCAGCUGAUUGACAAGCCACCGCGGAGGGAUAUCACUCAUCCCGCUCUGGAAAACCAACAACGAGGGAGUGCAUGUUCCCAGGAGAGACAGGAUGGAGGUAACGUUAGCGAGAAGGAGACUGCAGAAGCACCUGGAGCCGGCUCGACCCCUGCGGCGCAGCACCGUUGACCAGGGGUCUGAUGAUGGACCCGCAGACACGCCUGCGGGCGCACCGGUGGAGCAUGAACAGAAUAUUACUGUAGAGCAAUUCUACAGUAUAAUUCGCCUACACACACCGAAGCAAGGGAGAAUAUCCUACACGAGAGAGGUUCUAUGUGAGCUGGCAUCCUCACCUGUGGCCAAGAAAAAGCCUAAAUAUUUACCAGAGCACCCCAUAGUUUUGGAAAAGGCGGGAGAACAUCAUCUUGUGCUUCAGGAAACUAGAAAGGAAUCCCUUUGAACUUUGGGUGAAAAGAAAAAUCAUUUUUAUGUAUGGCCUUUUCUGACAAAUUUGCUGCUGAAUUGAUUUAUGUUACACAAUUAAAAUUGUAUAUUGUUUAAAUCUCUUUUGGCCUACUUUUUUGAGAAUAUGAUUCUUUGAAAUUAGUUACAGGUUUCUAUUUUCAUUUGAUUGUUUAGUUUAGUACAAGCAAAGGUAAUAUGAAUAAAUGUAUACUUUGUCGCAAACAGCAAUAACAAACAAUGUCCAUGACGAAAAUAUAUAUUUAUAAUAGUCGGUAUCUUCUCGCUAAAUAAAAAAACGCACUUCCGCUGCAGACAUCCACACACAGAAACAUCCACCAGCACAGCGGAAAUCGGAAAAUAAAAAAUAAAAAUCGGAAAAUAAAAUAAAAAUCGGGCGUUACGUAGUGUGUUUACAUAAAUGAACGGGCGUUAAGUAAUGUGUUUACAUAAAUGAACGUAAUAAACUACGUUAUAAAAUCGGAUAAACGCUUCCGGUUUUGGACAGAAGACUUGACACUCGCUGUUGACUUUAAGCUGGAGUUUAUGGCUCUUCUCUUUCUGUAAAUACACACACCUUAUUCAGAAUUCUUAUUCAGAAUUCCCUCUGUGUUAUACUGCAAUCAUCUCAAUUUAAUAUUUGAUAAAACACAAACUGAUACUCGUAUUGUAACGCUGACAGGCAUCAGAGAUUGAGGCUAAUAAUUAUUUUAAAUACAGCAACUAUGAGUGGACAGGAAUAGUUAGAACAAUUCCUUUAUACAGUAGCUUCAUCUUUUCUGACAUAUUUAUAUUAGGUCUAGUUAUGUUACAUUCUGUUGUCUUAAUAUCAUAAGGUUCGACUGCACUCCAACAUAAUUUAUUAUAUGUUAUUAGCACUUUUGCAUUCCUAAAUUCUUACUCUGAACCAUCAUUCAUUUAAUAUCUGGCUCUAAUUGUCUAUAAUAUUGUCUUACCGUGUGCUGCUGGACCACCUUAUUU